rnacentral:rRNA from 1 species
CCAGACAGCCAGGAUGUUGGCUUAGAAGCAGCCAUCAUUUAAAGAAAGCGUAAUAGCUCACUGGUCGAGUCGGCCUGCGCGGAAGAUGUAACGGGGCUAAACCAUGCACCGAAGCUGCGGCAGCGACACUGUGUGUUGUUGGGUAGGGGAGCGUUCUGUAAGCCUGCGAAGGUGUGCUGUGAGGCAUGCUGGAGGUAUCAGAAGUGCGAAUGCUGACAUAAGUAACGAUAAAGCGGGUGAAAAGCCCGCUCGCCGGAAGACCAAGGGUUCCUGUCCAACGUUAAUCGGGGCAGGGUGAGUCGACCCCUAAGGCGAGGCCGAAAGGCGUAGUCGAUGGGAAACAGGUUAAUAUUCCUGUACUUGGUGUUACUGCGAAGGGGGGACGGAGAAGGCUAUGUCGGCCGGGCGACGGUUGUCCCGGUUUAAGCGUGUAGGCUGACUUUCCAGGCAAAUCCGGAAGGUUAAGGCUGAGGCGUGAUGACGAGGCACCACGGUGCUGAAGUGACAAAUGCCCUGCUUCCAGGAAAAGCCUCUAAGCAUCAGGUAACAUCAAAUCGUACCCCAAACCGACACAGGUGGUCAGGUAG